ACCUGGGUGGCUCAGUCAGUUGAGCAUCUGACUUUGGCUCAGGUCAUGAUCUCACGGUUCGUGAGUUCGAGCCCCACAUCGGGCU
rnacentral:tRNA from 1 species